CGGUACUCCCAAGAGAUCGGGAUAACACCUGGAAACAGAUGCUAAUACCGGAUAACAACAGAUGAUGCCUAUCAACUGUUUAAAAGAUGGUUCUGCUAUCACUCUUGGAUGGACCUGCGGUGCAUUAGCUAGUUGGUAGGGUAACGGCCUACCAAGGCGAUGAUGCAUAGCCGAGUUGAGAGACUGAUCGGCCACAUUGGGACUGAGACACGGCCCAAACUCCUACGGGAGGCAGCAGCG
rnacentral:rRNA from 1 species